AUGGCUCAUUUUGCUUAAUUUGCAGCGGCGGGAACACCUCUGCCAGCGCCAGGUCCAGUGCCAUUUUUGCUGGCCCCACCACCGCCUAUGUCUGCUUUUAGCCCCGGAUCAUCUAAGGCGGCGGCGACAGCUCCUGGGCUGGCACCGGAUGCUCCCUUGGAUGGACCGAUGGGCCCCACAGCCACACCAGGAAUUCGACCGGUGGUUCAGCCCUUGCAACCCACUAGCCUCGCUCAAUAUUCUACCUCUCCUUUUCUUCCCUUGCUUUUCUUUCUCUUCACUCUUCUCACCUUGUUGAAUUUGUGAGCUAUACCGCGCGUCUCCAUAUUCAAAUUGUUACCCUUGUGUAUGUGUUGUCAGGUACUUUCCUUUUGGAUUCAUCGUUCCAGAUAUGAUUUACUUACUAUUUCAUCUCAAAUGAUAAGCUUCUUUGUCUUUUUGUUCGGUAAAUAUAAACCGUUGUCUGGCUCCGACCAAAUCAACACGCGUAUGUUUCUAUUUUAAAUGCCAAAU